rnacentral:rRNA from 1 species
AAUAGAUACCCUGGUAGUCCACGCCGUAAACGAUGAGUGCUAAGUGUUAGAGGGUUUCCGCCCUUUAGUGCUGCAGCUAACGCAUUAAGCACUCCGCCUGGGGAGUACGGUCGCAAGACUGAAACUCAAAGGAAUUGACGGGGGCCCGCACAAGCGGUGGAGCAUGUGGUUUAAUUUGAAGCAACGCGAAGAACCUUACCAGGUCUUGACAUCCUCUGACAACUCUAGAGAUAGAGCGUUCCCCUUCGGGGGACAGAGUGACAGGUGGUGCAUGGUUGUCGUCAGCUCGUGUCGUGAGAUGUUGGGUUAAGUCCCGCAACGAGCGCAACCCUUGAUCUUAGUUGCCAGCAUUUAGUUGGGCACUCUAAGGUGACUGCCGGUGACAAACCGGGGGAAGGUGGGGAUGACGUCAAAUCAUCAUGCCCCUUAUGACCUGGGCUACACACGUGCUACAAUGGAUGGUACAAAGGGCUGCAAGACCGCGAGGUCAAGCCAAUCCCAUAAAACCAUUCUCAGUUCGGA